UGAUGAUGUUGAACACAAAUUGAUGUCAGUGAAACGGGGAAGAAUAGACGUAGGUCGAUGAAACAGUCCCAAAUGAUUCGGAGUGUUGAGUUUGUAGGUCUCUUAAUUUCUGAAUCUUGCAUUAUACCUCCAGAAGACAACCGUCCGGAAAGUGACUUGACCGUCUUGAACCCACCGGUUCUCCUCCAUCCAUCUUCGUACAGUGACAAAAGGCAUUUAAUCGGAGAGAAUUAAAAUUAAUUAUACAUACUGUUGAUUUGGCACAGGAUUAAGUUUAAAGCUGAAUUUGUAUAUAAUUACAAGGCAAAAUCUAUAACAAUAAGCCUUUACAAUACGAUAUUUCAUUUUACAAAGCUGUGAUUGUUGUGCAAAUGACAACAUAUGCUUCAGAUUACUAUUAUUGGUAAUUGUACCCCAAUAUAAGAUUGUCCACCAAGAUGAUAUUACGUGAUCUUAGUCUAAUAGUUUUAUAUUUAUUUUCUUAU